CGUAUCAAAAGGCCAUGUAGGUAGACAAGGGCUUGGUAAACUUGGUAGAAAAUCAGGGACUGAUAAUCUACAGCGGUAUAAAUGUGAAUUGAUCAGCGAGCACAGCUUCAGCCAGCCAUGACUGAGAGAAAUGUCAUGUUAGCCGUUGUGUAAAUAAAUCCAGGGUUUGUGUGCAGGAUCAUCAGUGUGUAUCAUGAGCUGUGCAGGCUAUGUUUCUUCAUGGAACAUAUUAGUUAAAUGAUGCUCUUUUAUAACACAGUCGUGUAAGGAUUAAUUUUUCGGCUGUCGCAAAUAAUCCAGUAUUUCUUAUCGUGAUCGAUUGACUGGACUCCUUUGGAUUUACUUGUGUAUACGGAACACUAUAAUUAGUGUCUGAAACAGCAGAUGCGCCUAGGCAAAAGAAUGACGUGUACAUCAACCACUGUGGCACGUCACUGACAGUGUUGUAAAGGAUUAACCACCUUGUCUCACUCAGGCUGAACUACUCACAGAGUCGGAUCAAAUGACAGGAUUGAAUACCAUUGUCUACAUAAAGAUCAAUGUGUCUGUAUGAUGUGUCAAGCUUUUAAGCCAUUACAAACUUGGUUGGUUUUAGGAUGAACAGCUUUGAAAACAACACCUCGCAAUUAAGGUAGGUUGGAGCCAAAGCAUCAAUCAAGACAGACAGACUUAUAUGGUGCUAUUGACUAAUUUAGGAAAAGUAUAGUAGUCACAUUCUGUUGUUUGUGGAUGCUUUCUCUGCAAGAUUUGGCUGUUAUCAGUGCAAAGGGUUUCAGCUGUAACCACAGAAAAGAUAGUUCAAGAAGUUUUCGCAGUGCAAGUUGAUUUGGGCCUGAACCUUGUGCAAGAAGUUUUUGCUGUAACCAGUGCAAGUUGCUUUGGGCCAUAACUAGUGCAAGUUGUUUUUGGCCUGAACCAAGUGCAAGAAGGUUUCGCUGUGGCCAAUGCCAUGACUUAGUGUAAAAAUGUAUUGCUGUAACCAGUGCAAGUUGCUUUGACUGAGCCAGUACUAGCUCACAGUACUACAACAGGUGUGUCCUGAAGCUUUUGGAGAUCUGAGGCCUUCAACUACUGUUUGAUCACAGAUUGUAAUGACCUCAAUAAAAGAUCUGCUGUAAUAUGAGAAAGGAUGUGAAGCUUACAACUGCUGUUUGAUCACCCACUGUAAUAACCUCAUUAAGAGAUCUGCUGGCUAGUUAAUUUGGAAAAGGAUACUUGAAGUAGGCCAUGGCAGAUUAAUGUGAUCCCCAGCGCGAGGACACAGCAUGGCAAGGCUUUCAUGAGGUAUAAUUAUGCAGGUGUGGAGUGGUCAUAAUCAGCCUCUCCAUUGUUGGACAUAGACUGCUGUGUGUGUUGGUGGCAUGUAGGGUCACGUCAGGGUACAUUCAUCAAAGAAAGGGAGGCAUGUGUGUUGAAAAGCGCAAAUACUCUUGCGAUGGACACGAUCCCUUGAAGACUAAACCACUGUAGCUCUGAAAGUCUGAUCAUUCACAGCUGAGGAUUUCAAGGUACAGACACUACCGAGAGACCCUUCACUCUGAUGCCUAGACAAAUCAUGUCAUCACUGUCUGGUCAUCUGGUUAUCAACACUCGAAGCUGAAGGGGAUGAAGAACAUGACAACAAAUGAUUGCCACAACAAGAAACACCACAAUACGUCUAGGAUGACAGUCUGACAAGAUAAACUUACAAACCUAACAUAACACAAGUAUAUCCAGGCCAGAAAUCAAUCACAUUCCUCAACUAUUGCAUCAUCACCGUUUUUCCUGGGACGGGUGUUUUCUGAGAAAACUUUCUUGAAGGUCAUAGUCCAUCAAUAAAACCACAUCUAUCAAGUUCCCUGUGACAACCUCUAGUGUAUCAACAGCGACAACAUCCAGGUGAUCGGAGGCAAACAACAAGUCAGCUGGGUGCUAAGUGCUCAAUACAUCCCGUGGUUGCAGCGGAACUGGGGGAGACAAAAGCGCUAUUGAUUCCCAGUCCUGUGGCUGCAUGUGAAGGGUAAGAGCUGAUCGGCAUCAGUUGGUUCCUGUGUGGAGGUGAGCAGAGACUGCCAUCAGUUCUACCAGCAUGGACGGAGCAGCACAGGACGAUGCUGUUCCACCUUCACCGACAUGGUGUGAUAUGAACCUUGAACUGGCUCUCCUCAGAGAAGGCAAGAUGGAGGAGCACUGUGGGGUGGUGCCACGAGGCUUCCUCUGCUGCCGUCUGUGUGAGGAGGAGUUUCGUCAGCCCAAAUUCCUCCCCUGCCUGCACUCCUUCUGCAAGGACUGUUUGCAGGCACAUGUCAAAAAGUAUGCCGACGAGGAUGGAUACUUCGGUUGUCCGAUUUGUGGCACCGAGACAACCCUCAGGCAGCAAAAAGUGGAGAAACUGCCAGACAAUCUUUUCGCCAGACGGCUGUCAAAUCCUGCCAUCUCCUUGCAAAAGCCGCCAAAGAGGGACAAAUCCCGCAGCUGUCGCGACUGUGGACAGAAGUCAGAAAUAUCCUUUCACUGCAUAAACUGUGAUGACUUCCUAUGUCAGAUGUGUUCCGAGUCCCAUCAGCAGCAAGAGGAAACGGCCAGUCACAGCACUCAAACCAUUCAGGACUAUGAAGCUCAGAACAAGCCCCGGUCACGCCCAGCCUCUCCGGACACUCCGUCGGUGUUGUCCCAGUGCUGCGAGUACUACGAUGCCUAUGACAUUGGUGCAAUGUUCUGUGUGGACUGUGACAUGGCCCUGUGUGCCGAGUGCCACACCAAGAGUCAUCAGGAACAUAGGUGUGCGGAGUUGACAGCAGUGUCUCAGAACUUUGAGAUAAAGAUCAAACCUCCCCUCGACCAACUCACCAAUGAUGCGAAGUCCUUGAAGAAAACUUUAAAGGAUCUGGAGAUUGCGGAGAAGGUUGUCGAGAAACAGCAGAUUCGCCUUCAGGCAGAUGUCAAGAACAGAACCAAGGUACUCUGUGACCUCAUCAUGGAGUACGAGAAUGUUCUUCUCAGUGAGGUAGACAAGAGCCAGUCUCACAAUCGUGAGUGCAUCCAACAAAAACGCAAUGACAUUGAGCUGCAUCUUGCCUCUAUUCAAGCUGUUACCGACCUUACAGAGAAACUUGUGUCAUUUGGUUCAGAGGAAGAAAAGGUGUCCCUGAGAAAGAAAAUAGGUCGGAGGGUCAGAGAACUUUGUGAGACUGAACUCCCAACACAAGCCGUGAACCUGGUCAGUCUCAACCUGUGCGAACCUGACGUCAAUGUUGAGAAGAUCUGUGACUUGUUUGGAGAGUUGAAAACUGGCAUGGCGAGUUGUUCCCGUAGGUCAAGCCGAUCUCACAUUUCCACGACCCAAGAAUCAGGUCAUCCAAGCGUCAGUGACUCAAUAGAAAGCCAUGACAAUGACACAGAAAUUACUGAACUGGAAGACUAUGAGGAACGUGACCAUGACAUGCUUAGUGCCAGUAACACCAGCGAGACUUUCAGGGCAAUACAGGAAGAACCAGAGGAACAAGAACAGGAACAGUCCAACUCCUCCUUCCAGUCCUCAACACAAGAUGAGGUGCCCUCUCUAACUCUGGACACUCCUGCCAAAGAGCUUGCUCUACCCUCCAACAUCCAGCGAGACUGCAUUAAAGGAAUGGGAGUCAACCAGAGUGGAGACAUCAUCAUCGGUGCGGCAUCUGCAGGAAGUCAAUGUGUUUACUAUGUGGAAAAACGUGGCAUCAUCCGGGGCCAAAUCCCAGUUGAAAAGGGCUGGAAUAUUCACUCUGUUGCUCCAGAUGGAAAGGUGGCGGUCGCGGUCACACGGGGAGACAAUCGUUACAAAGUCAAGGUUUUGUCGAAUGAUGGCUGUGGCACAGUCCUUGCUAAUCUUCAUCUUGAAAGUUUUGGGUUGAAUUAUGUUGCUCCGUACUCACAUGGUCAAGUGAUAAUUUCUUCAAGCAGGUACGCACAGCUUAACCGGAACUACGGCAAGUCCGCCAAGUCAGGUGGAAAUGUGGCAGUGUACAACAAGGAUGGCCAAAUCACGCUACACAUCACAAAUGAGGACUUUGUUGAUGAAGGGCUGUAUCUUUUUGAAAAGCCGCAGCAUAUUGCUGCCGACGCUGAUGAAAACUUUUUUGUGUGUGAUCCGUCCACUCAUAUCGUGUCGGGUUUCAAUAAGGAUGGCGUUUUGUUGUUUGAGUACGGCAACACAGACAGUGAUGAGGAAAUCUACCAGGGUCCUGACCUGGUGUGUGUCGACAGAAAAAAGAAUGUUCUUGUCACGGACAAGCGUGAAGGUCGAAUUGACCUCCUCACCUAUGAAGGCCAGUUACAAAAGUGUCUCUUCCUGGAGGACGUUGUCAAGUUUGUGUCCGUCAGCUCUGAUAACAAGCUUGUUAUAGGCACUACUGAGGGCACAAUCAAGUUCUAUGAAUAUCUGUGAUUUCUGUCUCCUGUAAACAGGUUUCCGUCCUAAUCAGAGACAUUUGUUCUUUCAACCUAACGAACUUGAUGUAUCAAUAUACUUUUCUAGUCUGGACAUUAUCCUAUUUGAUACUGGUGCCUAAUAUCAACACUCUGAUUGUAAUGAGGACAGCUAGUGAUCUUGAUUACGGUAAUUUUAUAGCACCUACUAUUUGGUUAUAACAUCUAAGGUAGAGCCAAUAGAGAGAGGAAAAUAAAUUAUUUUUCAACCUAAUAAUGAGACAAGCAGGACAGCAUGAGGCGUCCCUCAUGGACACCUCGUAGUACAAGACUAGUGAGUGAGUGAGUGAGUGAG
rnacentral:misc_RNA from 1 species